rnacentral:rRNA from 1 species
UACGGAGGGUGGAAGCGUUAUCCGGAUUCACUGGGUUUAAAGGGUGCGUAGGUGGGCAGGUAAGUCAGUGGUGAAAUCCCCGAGCUUAACUUGGGAACUGCCGUCGAUACUAUCUGUCUUGAAUACUGUGGAGGUAAGCGGAAUAUGUCAUGUAGCGGUGAAAUGCUUAGAGAUGACAUAGAACACCAAUUGCGAAGGCAGCUUGCUACACAAUAAUUGACACUGAGGCACGAAAGCGUGGGGAGCAAACAGG